rnacentral:rRNA from 1 species
AUUGAACGCUGGCGGCAGGCCUAACACAUGCAAGUCGAGCGGAUGAAGGGAGCUUGCUCCUGGAUUCAGCGGCGGACGGGUGAGUAAUGCCUAGGAAUCUGCCUGGUAGUGGGGGAUAACGUCCGGAAACGGGCGCUAAUACCGCAUACGUCCUGAGGGAGAAAGUGGGGGAUCGUCGGACCGCACGCUAUCAGAGGAGCCUAGGUCGGAUUAGCUAGUUGGUGGGGUAAAGGCCUACCAAGGCGACGAUCCGUAACUGGUCUGAGAGGCUGAUCAGUCACCCUGGAACUUGACCACGGUCCAGACUCCUACGGGAGGCAGCAGUGGGGAAUAUUGGACAAUGGGCGAAAGCCUGAUCCAGCCAUGCCGCGUGUGUGACGAAGGUCUUCGGAUUGUAAAGCACUUUAAGUUGGGAGGAAGGGCAGUAAGUUAAUACCUUGCUGUUUUGACGUUACCAACAGAAUAAGCACCGGCUAACCUCGUG